CACUUGGUCCUGUCAGCAGUGUUUCCCAGUUGCUUGGGAACCUUCAGGGUCCUCAGCUCUGGCUGUCAAAACCCAGAGAGCAAGUGUGGGUGAACCCUGAGAGGUAGAGGUAGGCAGCUGGCAGGACACCAGCUUUGGAGUAUUUCCUGCUUUACUUUCAAGCAUUAUGAAUUUUGUCUGCCAGGUUCUAGAGCCAAAUGUAGCAGAAGGCUGAAUGUUACCUCAAGCCAUAAACAGGAGGUAAAAAGAAAGGCUCGUUAUCAAAUUAUUUCCAUGAGGUUUCUAGAAGUGAAUGAAGCAUUUCAAGCAUGGUUUCCCUGAAGAGAGGGGUCUACCUGCAGAACAAUCUGUCGUGUGUGAUUUUGUUUACUUCUGCCUGUUUGCUAACCUCCAACUUGUCUUACAGCUUUGCUCUAACCCAGCAGAGAGGUGCAUCUAAAAACAACCAACUCUCAAAACCCAUCUGCCCAAAACCAACCAACAAAGCGAAGUAGCACAGACACUUUUCUAACAAGACUGCUAUGCUGGGGCAGAGCUUCCUGAUGAAAGGUCAGG